CAUGGCUCAGGAAUGAAACGCUAAGCUACAGGCUUAACACAUGCAAGUCGAGGGGCAGCAUGUUGGUUGCUUGCAACCAAUGAUGGCGACCGGCGCACGGGUGAGUAACGCGUAUCCAACCUCCCCUAGUAGAGGAUAGCCCGGCGAAAGUCGGAUUAAUACUCUAUGUUCUUCAAUGCGGACAUCUAAGUUGAAGCAAAGAUUUAUCGCUAAGGGAUGGGAUGCGUCUGAUUAGGUGCAGGCGGGGUAACGGCCCACCUGGCCUACGAUCAGUAGGGGUUCUGAGAGGAAGGUCCCCCACACUGGUACUGAGACACGGACCAGACUCCUACGGGAGGCAGCAGUGAGGAAUAUUGGUCAAUGGGCGCGAGCCUGAACCAGCCAAGUAGCGUGCAAGGGACGACUGCCCUAUGGGUUGUAAACUGCUUUUAUCAGGGAAUAAAGUGAGGCACGCGUGCCUUUUUGUAUGUACCUGAUGAAUAAGGACCGGCUAAUUCCGUGCCAGCCGCGGC
rnacentral:rRNA from 1 species